rnacentral:lncRNA from 1 species
CCAAGACCCUUUGAAGAUUCACCCUGCCCCCCCGUGGGUCAGAGGAGGCAAAAUCGCCACCUUCUGGAAGAUGUUUAAAAGCAGUUAAAACCAAACAGGAAAAACGGGGAAAGCCAGCAUGAAUACAAAUUAUAAAUCUCCUUUACAGUUAACUAGCUUGACUGCUAGAGUUUUGCCUUGAAAGAAAAAAGGCCUUUGCUUACUGGUGGAAAGACAUAAAUAAUGGUGUCAACCUCCCUUGAAAAGGAGCUCCACAACCGGUGAGCAGUCACCAAGCCAAGCUUCUCUACCACAUGUUAGUGACAUUACUCCUGUUAGAAAUGGGACUGGCUCAUACAGUCAUGAUGGUAAAACUUCCAUAUCCACCACAAUGGCUCAGACAUGGUUCUCUCUAUUUUUACACUUAUACGUCUUUUAUAUAUUGCUUUCUCAAUACAUCACUUCACACAUUCAACUGCUAAGUAAACAGCAUGAUAUUCUGAGAGAAGUAGGAUUUCAUCUGACACUGAUGUUACCAAGAUUGAACUUUGAAUCUAUUUUGAAAACAAAGACCUGUCCCUUCUGCAUAUGAAAUAAGAUUACCUCAGAACAUAGCAUUAUAGCUGAAUUACUCAGUCUCCCCAGUCAUAUUUGCUCAAACAUUAAGGAUUCUUGUUCUUUGAGUGUAACUUCCAGUUAAUCUUAAGCGCAGACCUUUUAAUUUAUUUGUUUUGACAGUUACCUACAGUAGAAUAAGCCACUGUUCAGAAGAACCAAGGCUGUCAACUUGCUUGGAAAUAAGUUCCAUUAAACUCAGAAAGGACUUAUUUUUUAGCAAACACGCAGAAAAGACAGUGCUAUGAAAGGCAGGAAACAUGAAGUAGGAAGCAGAAGCAAUGCACAGCUCAUGCAACAGAGAAUGCUAUAAUCCAUGAGCAACUCAUUAUCAAACAUGGGGGGGUGAUUCCUAAAAUUUUGCUACAGUUGUAACAUUAUAGCAAUAAUUUGCUCAUUAAUUCAGGUUGGUGUAGAUGUAGUGGACUGUGCAUAGAAAACACACAGUAAUAUGGUUAUUAAAAAUAAAUAUAAAUGAAUAAAUUCCA